CCCUUAGAUGUUCUGGGCCGCACGCGCGCUACACUGACGAAUUCAACGAGCUUAUAACCUUGGCCGAGAGGCCUGGGCAAUCUUGUUAACGUGCAUCGUGAUAGGGAUAGAUUAUUGAAAUUAUUAAUCUUGAACGAGGAAUUCCUAGUAAACGCAGAUCAUCAAUCUGCAUUGAUUACGUCCCUGCCCUUUGUACACACCGCCCGUCGCACCUACCGAUUGGAUGGUCCGGUGAAGCCUCGGGAUUGUGGUUCUUGCCGCUUUAUUGUGGCGUGACCGCGAGAACUUGUCUAAACCUUAUCAUCUAGAGGAAGGUGAAGUCGUAACA
rnacentral:rRNA from 1 species